UGGCUGCUGUGUUGACACGCUCUGCACCUUGCUCCUGCCUUUGCCUUUCACUCUUCUUAUCCCCCCAAUACCCCCAUCAUUCCUGACAGCUCCUGAGUGCCUGGAUUUCAUCAUCCAGCCCUGCAGGAUGCUUCCCUUUCUUCUGAGGAAGGCUGUCCCAGACAGAGAGGAGGAGAUGGAGGUAGAUACCAAGAUUGAUACGGAGGAGAUGGAAAUAGACGGAGAAGACCCUGGAGAGGAAGAGAUGGAUGUGGAUAUGGAAGAGUCCGUUGAGGACAUGGACAUUGAUUAAAAAGGUGCAAAGGACAUCAUGGACAGAGAUGCCAACCUUUUUGUACAUAUGUUUUACACUUUGGUGUUGUCAUUAGGAUAUAGGUUUUAGGGCUUUUUGUCUUCUGUAAAUAUGUUUCAUAUUUUUUUGUUAGAUAGGUUUUUCUGUAUAUAUGUUCUAUCGAUUGUUGUUGUUACAAAUAUUCUUACAAUGUAAAUAUGUUCUCUAUUUUUGCUGCUGUUCUUCUCUAAUAAACAAA